rnacentral:rRNA from 1 species
GACGAACGCUGGCGGCGCGCUUAACACAUGCAAGUCGAACGGAAAGGCCUGCUUUCCCUUGUGGAUUGCGGGUACUCGAGUGGCGAACGGGUGAGUAACACGUGAGUGAUCUGCCCCCAACUUGGGUAUAAGCCUGGGAAACUGGGUCUAAUUCCCGAUAGGACUGCAGGGUGGUGCCUGUGGUGGAAAACGAUUUUCUAGUGGUUGGGGAUGAGCUCGCGGCCUAUCAGCUUGUUGGUGGGGUAAUGGCCUACCAAGGCGGCGACGGGUAGCCGGCCUGAGAGGGUGGACGGGCACAGUGGGACUGAGAUACGGCCCAGACGCCUACGGGAGGCAGCAGUGGGGAAUAUUGCACAAUGGGCGGAAGCCUGAUGCAGCGACGCCGCGUGGGGGAUGACGGCCUUCGGGUUGUAAACUCCUUUCGACCGCGAGGAAGCCACCUGGUUGGAAGGGUGGUGACGGUAGUGGUAGAAGAAGCACCGGCUAACUACGUG